GCGGGUGUAGUUUAGUGGUAAAACCACAGCCUUCCAAGCUGUUGUCGCGAGUUCGAUU
rnacentral:tRNA from 1 species